AAUGAGAAAAAAUAAUCUAGACAAUAAUAUGUUUAGAGGUUGCAUUAAUUUUUAAUCAAUUAAUAAAAAUAUAUUGGGAAAUCUGUUCUUUAUUACCAACUGGUAAAUUAUGUGUCGCCAUCUAGCUGUACUAGCUAUUACUUCAUUGUUACCGACUAGUAAAAUUAUCCUGCCAUCUAGUGGAAGUAACUGUUACUAUAUCUUAUCGACUAGUAGAAUAUGUGUCGCCAUCUAGACGAAAGAUAAAACAUCGCUAGGAUAAAAUCAAGAUGGCUACCUGUCAAUGUAUUUUGAACGCAAAUGCGGGCUAUGUGCAGUGUAAAUAGUCACAAAUUCAAGACGAAAAUAGUUACAUUAGAUGAAUUUCUGUGGGAUACUGUUAUGUUAUAACCUAACAAAGAUAAUGUUCCCUUUAUCAAGUUAUUAUAACAAAUAAUAAGAAGAAGAAUCUGUUACACAAUGGGAUCAAUGGAUAUACAUGUCAUUCUACAAUAUUAUGCGAAUAGAAUGCAGCUACAGUGAGAAAAAAUAAUUUAGACUAUAAUAUGUUCAGAGAUAAAAAUAAUAAUCUUGUUUGAGGAUAUUAUGUACAUUUGAGGAAGAAUUAAGCUUUAAAAA
rnacentral:lncRNA from 1 species